UACGUAGGGUGCGAGCGUUGCCCGGAAUCAUUGGGCGUAAAGAGCGUGUAGGCGGCUUGGUAAGUCCGCUCUGAAAGCCCGGGGCUCAACCCCGGGAGGCGGGCGGAUACUGUCGGGCUAGAGUCCGGAAGAGGCGAGUGGAAUUCCUGGUGUAGCGGUGAAAUGCGCAGAUAUCAGGAGGAACACCAAUGGCGAAGGCAGCUCGCUGGGACGGUACUGACGCUGAGACGCGAAAGCGUGGGAGCAAACAGG
rnacentral:rRNA from 1 species